rnacentral:rRNA from 1 species
AUUGAACGCUGGCGGCAGGCCUAACACAUGCAAGUCGAGCGGAGCGGCAGUCGCGUGCGUAAUGCUUAGGAAUCUGCCUGGUCCUGGGGGAUAACGUCCGGAAAUGGGCGCUAAUACCGCAUACUCUCAGAUGAGCUUAGGGCGGUUUAGCGAGUUGGUGGGGUAAAGGCCUACCAAGGCGACGAUCCGAAACUGGACCGAGAGGAUGAUCAGUCACACGGGAACGGAGACACGGUCCAGACUCCUACGGAGGGAAGCAGGGGGGAAUAUUGGACAAUGGGCGAAAGCCUGAGCCAGCCAUGCCGCGUGUGUGAAGAAGGUCUUCGGAUUGUAAAGCACUUUAAGUGGGGAGGCGUUACCAACAGAAUAAGCACCGGCUAACUCCGUGCCAGCAGCCGCGGUAAUUC